GGGCGAAAGCCUGACGCAGCGACGCCGCGUGGGUGAUGAAGGCCUUCGGGUCGUAAAGCCCUGUCGAGGGAACGAAACGGUCUCGACCUAACACGUCGAGUCCCUGACGGUACCCCCUAAAGGAAGCACCGGCUAACUCCGUGCCAGCAGCCGCGGUAAUACGGAGGGGGUUAGCGUUGUUCGGAAUUACUGGGCGUAAAGCGCGCGUAGGCGGAUUAGAAAGUUAGGGGUGAAAUCCCAGGGCUCAACCCUGGAACUGCCUCUAAAACUCCUAGUCUUGAGGUCGAGAGAGGUGAGUGGAAUUCCGAGUGUAGAGGUGAAAUUUCGUUAGAUAUUCGGAGGAACACCAGUGGCGAAGGCGGCUCACUGGCUCGAUACUGACGCUGAGGUGCGAAAGCGUGGGGAGCAAACA
rnacentral:rRNA from 1 species